rnacentral:rRNA from 1 species
AUUGAACGCUGGCGGCAGGCCUAACACAUGCAAGUCGAACGAGCGGCGGACGGGUGAGUAAUGUAUGGGGACUGCCUGAUAGAGGGGGAUAACUACUGGAAACGGUGGCUAAUACCGCAUACUAUCGGAUAAUCCAGAUGGGAUUAGCUAGUAGGGGGGGUAAAGGCUCACCUAGGUGCCGAUCUCUAGCUGGUCUGAGAGGAUGAUCAGCCACACUGGGACUGAGACACAGCCCAGACUCCUACGGAUGCAGCAGUGGUGAAUAUUGCACAAUGGGCGCAAGCCUGAUGCAGCCAUGCCGCGUGUGUGAAGAAGGCCUUAGGGUUGUAAAGUACUUUCAGCGGGGAGGCGUUACCCGCAGAAGAAGCACCGGCUAACUCCGUGCCAGCAGCCGCGGUAAUUC